AGCAUUGCAAAAAUUGCCUGUUAUGGCAGCUCAAACUUCUAGGAGUUUUUCCCUAUUCAGCAUUCAGGGCCAGACUAAGCUCUGCAUUUCAGAGGCCUGAUUUUUUGUAGGCUGGGUUCCAUCUCUUCUGAUGACAUGACCCUUAACUGACCCAGGGGUUUCUAUUUAGUCUAUUACUCAGUUUGCUCUAAUCUGCUAGUCAGCUCAGCUGUCCUUCACUUAUUCUUUACCUUCCUGCCUGCUUAAAGCACUGCCACUGUAGCUUAUUGUAGGGGUGUCUUUUCUCAUAUAGUUGCCUGUAGCUCCUCUUUUUUAUCUGCCUUUAGACUGCUUACUUCUCUGCAGCUGGCCCUUGCUCAGCAGCCUGCUAGACCUUUCCCCUCAACCCCUGUUACAGAGAGAGAGGGAGGGAUCUCUUCUAGGUGUGAGGUAGGGCUGAGAAGAGGUUUUGUAUACCUCGGUGUGAAUGGGACCCGGGAAGAGCAGUUGAGAUGAUUUGCUGUCCUGUGUAAUAGACUGGAGUGUUUGCUCUCCUGAAGAAUACCCAAGGAAGUGGGAUGGGAUCGCUGCCUUUCACAGGAUGGCAACAGCACUAAGAGCAGCACAGCACCCCCUCCAGUACAGAGCGUGUGGCUUCCAGCAUCACAUACUAUAACACUGUGCAGCAGCAGCAGCAAUAGGCGCCGCUUUCCCGAGGAAAAAUGAUUCCCACGUGAGCUGGCAGGAUGACGUUGAAUUUCCGCGAAAAUCCAGCAUGGUGCGGGCUGCAGCUGGACUGGAGACAUCGCUGCAGGGAGUGAUUUAGACACUGGGAGGGGGGAGGAUCUUCCCCACAACCUUUCCAGACACUGGUGUCAACUUUAUAAGCACAGAAGUGCGUCUCCGGGUGUAGGCAUAGCUGCAAGCCCCGUGGCCACCCAGAGUCAAAACAAAACCCUCAUCUCGACCCGACGGAGGAAAAUGAGAACCACACGUUAGCGGCUCAGACAUGAACCCGAAAGCAGGAGCUUGGACUUGGUGGCUUGCAAGGAAAGGUUGGGCAGUCCCUGCCCUGGCAUGAAGUCGGGUAACUCUUUGCUCCCAGGGCGGGGAGAGGAGCAUUUUUGCAACAACAAAAAAAUUAAAAAACAAAAACAAAAAAACUAAAUAUAAUACUUUGAAUGAGAGGCACCGAAGUAAGAAAGCUUUUAAAAUAAGAUUUCUCCCCCCAGUGAUCUCGCUUUGAUCCUGAAACUGGAGGGCAAUAUCCAUGGGGAGAUGACAGGAGGGGGAUGUCACCUCGUUUCUUGUCCUGGUGUGUGAAGGACACCCCCAGAUGUGUGCUCGUUUCUUUUCCAGAUGUGUGCUGUGUGCCCACGGGACCCCUCCUGCCUCUUCCUCCUGAAAAGCCAGCGCCUUUGCAAAGUCACUGGUCUUUCCCCCUUUGUCCUGAUCAGUGUCACAUCUGUACAAGGACAUCCAUCUCCCCGCUCCCCAGUGAAAAUCAAAUUCAAGCACAAGCCCUGGCUUGUUCGGGCUCCCAAGCUGGAGCAGGGCGUUUAUGAAUUCACUCCGAUGAGUUUGGAGAAGGCAAACGUGCCAUUGACACAACGCGCUCCCUGUUUACAGGAGCAGGCGGGCAAUAGGGAAGGGGGAAUGAAUGGGGGGAGUUUAAAGAGCCUUUCAUUGAGUAGCAUGCCGCUUUUUAAUAGCUCCUAGUUCAUAGACCUCAGUGUAUGUGCAGGGGUGGGGAAAGCUCCCUCCCUUUUCCCUUUCUCCAGGGGCAGAAUACAAUGCGGGCUUUGCACAACACAGCUAUGUCCACCGCUUCCUACCGGGGACUUUUGAUUGACAACCGCCCAGCUGAUGCCAUUAUAAGGAGGCAGGAGGGGGGGAAAUGUAGUGCCACUGCGAUUUGUCGGGUGCCUGCAUCCGGGGUUUCCUGGAUGCGCACCCGGCCGCAGCCCCCUGCUCCUUUGGGGAGGAGCUGGCAAAGAAAAUGAGGAGGGUCUCCCAGGAGGAGGGCUCUGCCGGCCCAGCAAGAAUCAGCCGCACUGUGGGUUGGAGUCCAGAGGCGGGUGGGUGUUUCUUAAUAAAAGAAACACGGGCAUCAUCGACUCAACAUCUGGCUAGUCUGGGGCAGCCCCCCAGCACUGUGUGCUUCUAUACUAUAAUAAUAUUGAUAUUGAUAAUAAUGGUGAUAAUAAUAACUCUCCUUAUGACUUUAUUCCUAAACCAUCUGGGGCAACCCUGUGUGCCUCUAUUGCUAUAAUAAUAUUGAUAUUAAUAAUGAUAAUGACGAUGAUAAUAAUGAUGAUAAUACUACUAAUAACUCUCUUUAUGACUUGAUUCCUAACCUGUCUGGGGCAUCCCCCCAGCCCUGUGUGCCUCUAUGCAAGAAUACUGAUAGUAAUAAUGACAAUGACGACAAUGAUGAUGAUGAUAAUGAUCAUCUUUAUGAUCUCUUUAUGACCAGCCCCCCAGUCCCGUGUGUCUCGAUUGCAAUAAUCAUAUUGCUAUUUAUAGUGAUAAUGACGACGAUGAUAAUAAUGAUGAUGAUAUUAUUACUAUUAUUAUUAUAGCUGUCUUUAUGCCUUGAUUCCUAAUCUAUCACAGCAGCUCCAGCCUCAGGGCAGGCUGUUUCGGUUUGCCCCGCAGUUUGGCGGGGCUGGCUGCAGGCUCACGCCGCAGUCGCUAAUUGCAUGGAUUUAUUGAGUUGCGGGAGA